GAUGAACGCUGGCGGCGUGCCUAAUACAUGCAAGUCGAGCGAACGGACGAGAAGCUUGCUUCUCUGAUGUUAGCGGCGGACGGGUGAGUAACACGUGGAUAACCUACCUAUAAGACUGGGAUAACUUCGGGAAACCGGAGCUAAUACCGGAUGAUAUUUUGAACCGCAUGGUUCAAAAGUGAAAGACGGUCUUGCUGUCACUUAUAGAUGGAUCCGCGCUGCAUUAGCUAGUUGGUAAGGUAACGGCUUACCAAGGCAACGAUGCAUUGCCGACCUGAGAGGGUGAUCGGCCACACUGGAACUGAGACACGGUCCAGACUCCUACGGGAGGCAGCAGUAGGGAAUCUUCCGCAAUGGGCGAAAGCCUGACGGAGCAACGCCGCGUGAGUGAUGAAGGUCUUCGGAUCGUAAAACUCUGUUAUUAGGGAAGAACAUAUGUGUAAGUAACUGUGCACAUCUUGACGGUACCUAAUCAGAAAGCCACGGCUAACUACGUA
rnacentral:rRNA from 1 species